AUGUCCAUAUACCCAGUCAGUAACUUAACAUUGUAUGGGGUAGCUGAAACGGAUGUGGAAAAGCAACAUUUGGAUGAAAAAAAUAAUAAUAAUAAUAAUAAUAACAAGGAGAAGAAGAAAGAUAAAGAAAGUAGUAACGUAGUUGUACAAGACAAAGAAUUUUUUGAAACUGAAAAUAUACAAAAUAUGUUAACAACUCGCUACUUGGAAGAACAGAAUAAACAAAUAGAAACUGAAAAAAAUGAUUUAAUAAAAGAAAUGAUGAAUAAAAAUAAAGAACUACUAUUAAAAGAAGAAGAAAUAAAAGCUCAAAAAAAUAUUAUAGAUAAUUUACAUAAAAAUAAUAAAAUAAUAGAAAAUAAAUUAGAAUUGAAUAAACUAAAAAGUGAAGAAAUAUUAGAAAGAAAUAAUAAACUUAUAAAAUCUAAAAUUGAUGAAUUAAAAGAAGAAUUAAAUACAAAAGAUAAAGAAAUAGUUUUAAUAAAAACAAAUGAAAAUAUAUUAAAAAAAGAAUUAAAUAUAUAUAUAGAAAACGAAGGUAAAAAUAAAAAUGAUAUACAAAAUUUAACAAAUGAAAUGAUUAUUUAUAAAAAUGAUUUGACUAAUGCAAAAACUGAAAUAAAAAAACUAAUAAAUGAAAAUGAUAAACUUAAAAAUAAUGUUAAUUCGUUACAAAUGGAAAAAGACAUUUUAAAAAAAAAGUUGUUUAUUGAUUUCAAAAUGGAUGACGAGAGUUGUACAAAGGAAAAGGAUUGCCUACGAAAUGAAGGACACGAUAAUUUUGAUGAGGGGGUAAACACAGAGGGGGACAACAUGAGCGGACAUAAUUAUGACAGUAUGGGUAAAGAAAACGAAAAGGGAAAUAUGAGUGCAGAAAAAGAAAAAGAAAAAAUGAGUGGAAAAAAUGAAAAAGAAAAAAUGAGUGGAAAAAAUGAAAAAGAAAAAAUGAGUACAGAAAAAAUGAGUGGAAAAAAUGAAAAAGAAAAAAUGAGUGCAGAAAAAAUGAGUGCAGAAAAAAUGAGUGCAGAAAAAAUGAGUGCAGAAAAAAUGAGUGCAGAAAAAAUGAGUGGAAAAAACGAAUCCGAACACAUGGAUGCUUACAUAAAGAUAAACAAACAAAUACUGGAAAAUAUAUCAAAUGAAAAAGGGACAAAUUCUAAUUUAUUAAAUAACAGUUGUAUGUCUUUUUGUAAAAAUGAGAUAGAAAAUAUUUUGCAAAAUAAUAAAGAACAUGAUUUCAUGGAAAAAAUAAACUACAAUAAUUAUGAUAAAAUAAUUGGGAAAAUAUCGAACAAGUCGUCCAAUGACCUAAUAUUAGAAUAUAAACAAUUAAUUAAAGAAUAUAUAUUUUUAAAUUUAUUAAAAGAAGAAUACGAAAAAGAUAAUUUAUAUUUACAUAAGCAUAAUAAAAUAUUAAAUGAGCAAAUUGUUAAAUUGAAAAAUGAAAUAAAAAUAAACGAAGUAAAUUAUAUAAAUAAUGAGCAAAAGUUUAAUAUGCCUAAAGAAAAUGUAGAAGAAGGUUAUAAAAAUGAGAACACGUUUGAUGGUUCGAUUGGAAAUCAAACAGACUUAAAUAAUAGUAUGUUACACCAAGAUUUGUUAAAUAUGUCUGAAAAACAAAGGGAAAGUGUUAGUGCGACAGAGUAUGUUAAUAUACAUAUUGAUACAUAUAAAAAUAAAUACAUUGAAAUGAAAAAAUUGAAUAAGGAACUUGUUUAUCAGUUAGGUAAUAUAUAUAGAUUAAUUUUAGGGGACGAGCAAAAUGAAUCAGCUACAGAAAAAGAAGAACAAAAAGAAGAACAAAAACAAAAAGAUAACAUAUAUAUAAAGAUACUAAAUAGAACAAAAACGAUAACAAAAAGUGUUAACAUAAUAAACGAUGAAAUGUCGAAAUUGAAUAUACAUAAUACGUCAAAUUAUAGUAAUUACAGCGAUGUUAGUUCUAAUAAUAAAAAACAAAACAAUAGUAAUAGUAAUAAUAAUAAUAAUAAUAAUAAUAACGCAAAAGAAGAUUUUUUAAAAAACUAUUCGAACAUAAUUGUUUACCUUAAUUCAAUAUCAGUGGACGUAUUGUUUAUUAGUACCAACAUUACAUUAAUUAACGAGUUGAUCGAUAAAAACAAAAAUGAUAUAAUCAAUCAGAGUAAUUUAUUUUUAAUUAAAAAAGAAUUAUUAAUAGAUUCGAAUAAACAAGAUUCCAUUUCUUCAAGUUAUCAAAGAGGUGGUAGUGCAACUAAUUAUAAUAAUAACCACGUAAAUAGAUACAACUCUCAACAAUAUAUAAACACAUCAGCCAAUGGAAACAAUACACAAACUGUACAUUUACCAUCAAACAAAUCUAUCAAUCGUUUUGAAAGUAUAUUAAAUGAAAAUAAUUAUAUCAAAAAAGAUGCAACAGGUGUUUCUAAUUAUUAUAAACAUGAUAUUAAUUUUAAAAACGUUCCAUCAGGACUUGAUACGAGUUCCGAUUACAAUAUUCAAAAUAAUCAAUAUUUUAAUA
rnacentral:lncRNA from 1 species